GCCUUCGUGGUGUAGUGGUCAGCACAAUGGACGCGAAAGCGAAAGGUCUGCGGUUCGAUUCCCGGUGAAGGCG
rnacentral:tRNA from 1 species